rnacentral:hammerhead_ribozyme from 1 species
AUCCAGCUAACGAGUUCCAAAUAGGACGAAAUGUGCAUCCUAGAU